rnacentral:misc_RNA from 1 species
AACGCACCUUGCGCUCUCUGGUAUUCCGGAGAGCAUGCCUGUUUGAGUGUCAUGAACUCUUCAACCCACCAAUUCCUUGUUUGAAUUGCUGUGGUGUUUGGAUUUUGAACGUUUAUUGCUUUUUUUUUUUAAAGCUCGUUCGUAAUACAUUAGCAUCUCAAUUUCCCGAAUUGGAUUGACUCGGCGUAAUAGACUAUUCGCUGAGGACACCUUUUAUUGAAAGGUGGCCAAUUUGGUUGAAGACAGUUAGAAGCUUCUAAUUUAAUAAGAAAAGUCAACAACUUUUGAUUUUAGACCUCAGAUCAGGCAGGAUUACCCGCUGAACUUAA